GAUGAACGCUGGCGGCGUGCCUAAUACAUGCAAGUCGAGCGAACAGAUGAGGAGCUUGCUCCUCUGACGUUAGCGGCGGACGGGUGAGUAACACGUGGAUAACCUACCCAUAAGACUGGGAUAACUUCGGGAAACCGGAGCUAAUACCGGAUAAUAUAUUGAACCGCAUGGUUCAAUAGUGAAAGACGGUUUUGCUGUCACUUAUAGAUGGAUCCGCGCCGCAUUAGCUAGUUGGUAAGGUAACGGCUUACCAAGGCAACGAUGCGUAGCCGACCUGAGAGGGUGAUCGGCCACACUGGAACUGAGACACGGUCCAGACUCCUACGGGAGGCAGCAGUAGGGAAUCUUCCGCAAUGGGCGAAAGCCUGACGGAGCAACGCAGCGUGAGUGAUGAAGGUCUUCGGAUCGUAAAACUCUGUUAUUAGGGAAGAACAAAUGUGUAAGUAACUAUGCACGUCUUGACGGUACCUAAUCAGAAAGCAACGGCUAACUACGUG
rnacentral:rRNA from 1 species